GACAGAGGUGCCGAGCGUUAGGCGGAAUCACUGGGCUUAAAGCGUGUGUAGGCGGGCCGUUAAGUACCUUGUGAAAUCCCCCGGCUCAACCGGGGAACGGCUGGGUAUACUGGCGGCCUUGAGACACCUAGGGGCGAGCGGAACAGGCGGUGGAGCGGUGAAAUGCGUAGAUAUCGCCUGGAACGCCGACGGUGAAAACAGCUCGCUGGGGGUGUUCUGACGCUGAGACACGAAAGCCAGGGGAGCGAACGGG
rnacentral:rRNA from 1 species